rnacentral:rRNA from 1 species
CAAGGGCGGGCAAGCCCUAAACAUGCAAGUCGAGCGGCAGCGGAAAGUAGCUUGCUACUUUGCCGGCGAGCGGCGGACGGGUGAGUAAUGUCUGGGAAACUGCCUGAUGGAGGGGGAUAACUACUGGAAACGGUAGCUAAUACCGCAUAACGUCGCAAGACCAAAGAGGGGGACCUUCGGGCCUCUUGCCAUCAGAUGUGCCCAGAUGGGAUUAGCUAGUAGGUGGGGUAACGGCUCACCUAGGCGACGAUCCCUAGCUGGUCUGAGAGGAUGACCAGCCACACUGGAACUGAGACACGGUCCAGACUCCUACGGGAGGCAGCAGUGGGGAAUAUUGCACAAUGGGCGCAAGCCUGAUGCAGCCAUGCCGCGUGUAUGAAGAAGGCCUUCGGGUUGUAAAGUACUUUCAGCGGGGAGGAAGGCGUUGAGGUUAAUAACCUCAGCGAUUGACGUUACCCGCAGAAGAAGCACCGGCUAACUCCGUGCCAGCAGCCGCGGUAAUACGGAGGGUGCAAGCGUUAAUCGGAAUUACUGGGCGUAAAGCGCACGCAGGCGGUCUGUCAAGUCGGAUGUGAAAUCCCCGGGCUCAACCUGGGAACUGCAUUCGAAACUGGCAGGCUAGAGUCUUGUAGAGGGGGGUAGAAUUCCAGGUGUAGCGGUGAAAUGCGUAGAGAUCUGGAGGAAUACCGGUGGCGAAGGCGGCCCCCUGGACAAAGACUGACGCUCAGGUGCGAAAGCGUGGGGAGCAAACAGGAUUAGAUACCCUGGUAGUCCACGCCGUAAACGAUGUCGACUUGGAGGUUGUGCCCUUGAGGCGUGGCUUCCGGAGCUAACGCGUUAAGUCGACCGCCUGGGGAGUACGGCCGCAAGGUUAAAACUCAAAUGAAUUGACGGGGGCCCGCACAAGCGGUGGAGCAUGUGGUUUAAUUCGAUGCAACGCGAAGAACCUUACCUACUCUUGACAUCCAGAGAACUUAGCAGAGAUGCUUUGGUGCCUUCGGGACUCUGAGACAGGUGCUGCAUGGCUGUCGUCAGCUCGUGUUGUGAAUGUUGGGUUAAGUCCCGCAACGAGCGCAACUCAUAAUCCUUUGUGCCAGCGGAUAGGGCCGGAAACUCAAGAGACUGCCAGUGAUAAACUGAGAGGUGGGAUGACGUCAGUCAUCAUGGCCCUACGAGUAGGGCUACCACGGUGCUACAUGCCUCAGAGAUGCACCUUCGGAGACAGCGGAACCUCAUAAGUGCGCUCGUAGUCGAAUUGA